rnacentral:lncRNA from 1 species
GCUAAAGCGCUAACUUCGGGCAUUCGAUCGCGAUCGCCUCUGCACAGACUGCAUUUUCUGUUGCGAGAUCAUCUCUAACCAAACUUGGUUCAGGUCUCUCGAUAAAUUUUGCCACAGUUCCCCAUUGUUUUUCAUCGAUAGUUUCGAAUCAGUCAAAUUGAGAAUUAAAAACAGCGGAGAUAAAAGGCAUGAAAGGGGGAGACUUCGUUCCAUUUCGAUGCAUUCAAACGUUGCUUCCGUAGCUUGAAUUUGAACGCUGUGUACGGCACUUUGGAGGACUGUACGCCGCUACUUCUGGCGUUCUCUUCAUUACCUUCGCUGUCGAGGGCCUCGGCCCAACGUUUGUUUUGCUGGGAUACUCGCGAGCUCCAGUACUGUCUCAUUUCAUGAUGGGCAGGGUGAUUUAAUUGUGAUCAUCAGCAGCGUGGAAUAAAACCUGACCACACUCUGUAAUUUGGAAAUAGGUCUGACCAAUAUCUGACGUUCUAUCAUAUUCUGCAGUUUGGAAUUACCGCAGGGAUGCUUGCAAGGUAUAAGGAAUGGGACUUAGGCAUUUUGUGUUUAAACUGUGUUCUUGCUGUUAAGUCAUCAACUGAAAGAUAUGCAGUUCCAGACAUCUGAUUGACCCAAAUUCCUGUGCCAUGCCAACACCAUUUUGAAACCAAGGUUUUAUUUAGGAUUAGCAAUACCCCCACCUGGGUGUUCUCGGAGAGUAGCAAAAGGAAGACUGAGUCCCAGGAAUUAGCUUCUGAAAUCAAUAGCCAACUCUUGUCUUGUCAGCAAAUAUCGGGCAACAAUGAUAUUUCAAUCAUAAAGGAAAUUGUGAGAGAUUUUCAGUAUUCGUACCCAAAUUCCUGCUUCCAUAUGGCUUGGAAACAUUGUAUUCAAGUAGCCUAGUGGUUGUGAAAAUUGAGAAGACGGUUACAACAUAACGUAAUUGCUGUGGUUCGCUGGGAAUUUGGUCAUAAGUUGCCGUUGGCGUCUUGGAGCUGACCACGGAAGCAUUGACAAGUGAGGUAUGGCUCUCUCAAUAUGGGACAAGCUAAGCCCCAAUGAAUUUGAGAUUCUCCUCGACUAUGUGAGCUGUGAGUAUGAUCUAUUUGAAUUUUUACCUUCUCUGUCAUAUUUUCUCAUAUCUACCACUCAAUAUCACUUCUAAUGUUUCAGUUUGCUAAGGUUCUCUUCAAUAUAUCUCACCUCAAAAUUAUCCCUCCCUUUUUCAAUUUACUUAAUAACUAAUGUUUUUUUUUCUUUCAAUUUUACCCAUUGGCAUUGAUACUAAAUGUUAAAUCCACCCCAAAUGUAAAAUGAAAAGAGAGCAAUUAAGUAUGAACAACUGAAAAUUUUAUUGAAAAUAGAUCAAAAAAAAAAGGAAUUGUAUUAUCGCUUAUUAGCCCGUUGUCCGUCCACAAUUUCAAAAUGCUUAGCUUCGUUAUUUCAAGAUUGAUUUCAAUUCUAUUUGCUUUAUAUGAUAGCACUAUGUGGGGAUUCAAAACAUCUACCCAGAAUUUUGAAACUCAUUAAAUAUGCUUAUUUAUGCACAUUUUUCAAAAUUCAAAAAAAAUACUUCUUC